rnacentral:rRNA from 1 species
UACGGAGGAUGCGAGCGUUAUCCGGAUUUAUUGGGUUUAAAGGGUGCGUAGGCGGCCUGCCAAGUCAGCGGUAAAAUUGCGGGGCUCAACCCCGUACAGCCGUUGAAACUGCCGGGCUCGAGUGGGCGAGAAGUAUGCGGGAUGCGUGGUGUAGCGGUGAAAUGCAUAGAUAUCACGCAGAACCCCGAUUGCGAAGGCAGCAUACCGGCGCCCUACUGACGCUGAGGCACGAAAGUGCGGGGAUCAAACAGG